rnacentral:lncRNA from 1 species
CUUGAUGCAAGACAAUCUUUAAAAGAUUUGGGUUCCAAACUCCAAAGUCUGCUGGUGGUUCUCUAUAUCUCUAGUUCCGUUUCUUCUGUGGUUGCCGAAGAUUCUCACCGUGCAAUGGUUAUGAAGGACAAUUACUGUACUUCAUAACCCUUUCAAAAUUUCAACUACUGCACACUUUUAGCAAACCUAUAAUUACAUGUGCUGCCUAAUCGGCUGUGGCUUUGAGCACCAGUUGGAAGUUGUUUACCUUGUCUCUUUGGUUUCACUCUCUUCUCUCGGCUGUCGGCUUUUUUUAUUGUUCUCUCUCAGGGGUUCGUACGCUGUGUGGUAAGAUGGUGAUUAUUUGCAGGUUUUCACUCGCAUUUCCUUUCCAUCAUAGAGUAGAAUUCUUUCUGCUUGUUGCUGGAUUUUAAUGGCAAGGUGUGUUUAUCCUGUUCUUCAUGGGCCUGUUGGUGUA